rnacentral:misc_RNA from 1 species
GAUGUAGAACGUAGCGAAAUGCGAUAAGUAAUGUGAAUUGCAGAAUUCAGUGAAUCAUCGAAUCUUUGAACGCACCUUGCGCUCCUUGGUAUUCCGAGGAGCAUGCCUGUUUGAGUGUCAUUAAUAUAUCAACCUCUUCAGCUUAUGCUUGUUGAGUGUUGGAUGGUGGGGGUUUGCUGGUGUCUUAUGAAGUCAGCUCCUCUGAAAUGCAUUAGCGGAACAAUUUGUUGACCGUUCAUUGGUGUGAUAAAAAUAUCUACGCUAUUGACGUCAGUCAGUUCAGCUUCUAACAGUCCAUUGACUUGGACAAAUUUUUCAUUAAUGUGACCUCAAAUCAGGUAGGACUACCCGCUGAACUUAAGCAUAUCAAUAAGCGGAGGA